rfam:Marine metagenome ctg_1101667441053, whole genome shotgun sequence.
CGCUGUCACAGGUAACUAUGGCGGUGAUUAAGCAGAAGUCAGCAGACGGCAUAGUAGCCAAAUGCC